AUUCACGCAGUGAACACAUAACGAACUACUCUUUCGCCUUUUACUAAAGAAUACCGUGUGUGUGCUGCAACUAGUGGCAUAUGCUGAUUUUUGGAGGGGUCCUCUUUCUUAGAGUGCC
rfam:Capsicum annuum cultivar Zunla-1 chromosome 1, whole genome shotgun sequence